UACGGAGGGUGCAAGCGUUAUCCGGAUUUACUGGGUUUAAAGGGUGCGUAGGUGGGUCUGUAAGUCAGUGGUGAAAUCUCCGGGCUUAACUCGGAAACUGCCAUUGAUACUAUAGAUCUUGAAUUAUCUGGAGGUGAGCGGAAUAUGUCAUGUAGCGGUGAAAUGCUUAGAUAUGACAUAGAACACCAAUUGCGAAGGCAGCUCACUACGGAUAUAUUGACACUUGAGGCACGAAAGCGUGGGGAGUCAAACAGAAUUCAAGAGUACCCGGUUAGC
rnacentral:rRNA from 1 species